rnacentral:misc_RNA from 1 species
GAUGAAGAACGUAGCGAAUUGAGAUAAGUAGUGUGAAUUGCAGAAUUCAGUGAAUCAUCGAAUCUUUGAACGCACAUUGCGCCCUUUGGUAUUCCAAAGGGCAUGCCUGUUCGAGCGUCAUUUGUACCCUCAAGCUUUGCUUGGUGUUGGGCGUCUUGUCUCUAGCUUUGCUGGAGACUCGCCUUAAAGUAAUUGGCAGCCGGCCUACUGGUUUCGGAGCGCAGCACAAGUCGCACUCUCUAUCAGCAAAGGUCUAGCAUCCAUUAAGCCUUUUUUUUCAACUUUUGACCUCGGAUCAGCUAGGGAUACCCGCUGAACUUAAGCAUAUCAAUAAGCGGAGA